GAGGAAAGUCCGGACACCACCGGGCAGGAUGCCGCACAAGCUUCGGCAAGUGCGGGCGCCGCGCGUCAAGGCGCGGCGACGGACAGUGUCACAGAAAACAAACCGCCUUCGCAGCGCGGCGAAAGUCGCGCGGUGGAGGUAAGGGUGAAAAGGUGGGGUAAGAGCCCACCGCGUUUCGCGUGAGCGGGACGGCACGAAAAACCCCUUCCGGUGCAAGGCAAAAUAGGCGGCUGGGCGGCCCGUCCGAUAGCCGCGGGUAUGCCGCAUCCUCCUUCGCUCGUGCGCUCCGCGCGCGAGCUACGGAGGACAGGUCCAUCGCGAGGUGGGCGUGAGAGAAAUGACGG
rnacentral:RNase_P_RNA from 1 species